AUAGCUCUUGCGUUUGGGGUUUAUCCAAGAAACCGCUGUUCUCUAAACUAGCUGUUGUUUUGUCUGUUUUCAAGAUUUUUCACUUGUAAACUAGCUCUUGCUUUGAAAAAAAUCUGUUCUUUUCUGCUGGAUUUUAUUGUUUUCUGUUCAUCAAUCUAGAAAGAUUGGUUCUUUGAGUUGAAUUUUAUGUGGGUAUUGAUUCAUGAUUGAUUGAUCUUGUUGAAGUCUGAGUCUUGAAUGAGUGAAGGAAAUCUGAAGUUGGAAAAAGAAGCAUUUGUAUUGACCUCUUUGGAAAGAUUAGUCAAGGGGGUCGUGUUUAUAGGUAUUGUAGUUUUGAUCAUUAGUGAUGGAUGGAUCAAAUGGCAGUUCUUGGUCGCCGGCGCCAUUUCUGGUGAAGACUUAUGAGAUGGUGGAUGAUCCAAUGACAAAUUCUGUUGUAUCUUGGAGUCUAACUGGCCAUAGUUUUGUUGUUUGGAAUCCACCUGAGUUUGCUAGAGAUUUGCUGCCCAAGUAUUUCAAGCACAACAAUUUCUCCAGCUUCAUUAGGCAAUUGAAUACAUAUGGUUUUAGAAAGACUGAUCCUGAACAAUGGGAGUUUGCAAAUGAUGAGUUUAUCCGAGGGCAGAAACAUAUUUUGAAGAAUAUAUACAGGCGUAAGCCGAUCCACAGUCAUUCAGGUCAAGGAAAUGUGGCUCCAUUAACUGAUUCAGAAAGAGAGCAUUUUGAGAAAGAGAUUCAGCAGCUAAAAGGAGAAAAGGUUAUGCUUCAGUCGGAAGUAGAGAGGCAUAGGCACGAGAGUCAAGGAUACGAGCAUCAGCUCAAUUCCUUACGACAGAUAUUGCAGAACAUUGACCACAGGCAGCGUCAGUUGAUGAUCAGCCUAGCUCAGCUGUUGGAGAAGCCGAGCACCAUGGAACAGCCAGGGUUUCAGAGCAAGAAAAGAAGGUCCACAGCCUUGCAUUUCUUGCAAGGCGAAGGCCUAGAAAAUUCCGGUGCUUCGUCUCUUCCAUUCAUGAACAUGGAACAAGUUGAGGAACUAGCUUCUUCCCUAAAUUUUUGGGAGAAGUUCUUCCAUGGAGUUGAGGCUCCAGCCGAAGGCUUUCAUGACUUUAGGCUGCACUCCACGCGUUCACCUGUCAUCACAGCAUCGUCUGGAGAUUCUGAUAAUGCCUCACGCGGUUGCCACAUGUCAGCAUCAACUUCACGAGAUUGCAAUUCCUCCCCAGAGCUGGCUGCAUCCUCGACUUAUUUAGGCAGCCCUGAGAUAUCUUCAAUCUGCAUUGAUCUCGACUCUAGGCUAAAGCCAGUAGGGAUUGAUGUGAACAUGAGCCCAACCAAGACUCAUGUUCAUCAAAUGCCAAAAGAUCAAGAGCAGGAUGGCGCCAUCCCAUCUGUGGCAGCUGGUCUAAACGACGUCUUCUGGCAGCAGUUUCUGACUGAGGCUCCUGGUUCCUCUACAGCACAAGAAGUGAAACCAGAGGAAGAUAGUGGAUCUUGAGAAGCAUCCAAGUGAUGAGCGAAAGCCAGCUAACUCGAGUGCUGAGGAACAAAGCUGCAACGUGUCAUAUGCUAACUUUAGGUAUUAUUGCUUGAGUUUGAGGAGCUAUACUGAGAAGAGACUUUGCUUGCUAGUGUCUCGUGUUAUGUGGAAGAUAUGUCUAAGACUCGCUGGAACCUAGAGACGACUGCUCCACCGAGCUCUUGGGAGAUUUCCUGUCCAAGAGCUUGAGCUGAAGGUUCUGAUGCCAGAUGUUGGCUCUCAUGAUUAUUACUUACAUAAAGUUUUUUUUGCUGUUAUUUCAGGGUUAUUUUUUAGAGUGAUAAACAACCAAAUUUUGUACAACUAAAAUAAGGUUAUAUUAAUAAUUUGAUGUAUUAAUUAUAUAUUAAAAUAAUAAAUGGAGUAAGUGGACAAGUUAAAAAGAC